UUCCCAGCUAUCCACGUAGAGGAGUUCUGCAGUCUUUUCCCUCGCCUAAAUGGUCUUGACCUGAGUAAGGUUGAUGUACAAGACGGUCUCACCCACACGCCCUGAAACUACCGCAGUUGUCAACAUCUAGUGCCUUCACCUGCCGCCUCAGCUUUGGAAGAUGAUAGUGGCAGGGCGGUGGGGUCAUUUUGCCCCAUAUUGAUGCUGUCGGACAGUCGGUAGCCAUCUGAUUCAUCACAAUGGACAUUCUUCUAUAUAAUGAAGGCACUAAUUAUAUACAAAUAGAUUCAGAGGUCUGAAUGUCAUUCACUCCCUGUAACGCCAGCAUCUGCAGCAUGAUGUCAUCAAUUGAGCUAGUGACAACAUCCAUGACAUUGGACUCA